UUUUUAGAAUAUGUAAGUCCCAUAACAUAUUUGAGACAUACUUCUACUAAAA
rnacentral:miRNA from 1 species